UUGUUUUUGUAGUAUGUAUGCUUGUAUUCCUUUAAUCUGUGAUCUUAAGUUGUCCUCACAUCCCUUCCCUUCCACUAGAGGACUUACUGAGAUGGAGAUUUCUGAGUGCCAGCAUCUCUGUACUAUGAAAUACUCUUUAUCCAUUCUUUAUUAUUCAGGAUUUAUUUUAUUUUAAGCAGUCCAUUUUAUUUGACUAAGCUUUUCACAUGCAAAUGAUACUUUCUAACACCUCGCUGUUAGUGUUUUGGCACACAAGGUAAUCUUAAAACACUUUUGUUGAUGCUGAGUGUUCUAGUUUUUGUUGUCCUGGAACUCAUUUCCUUUGAUUUUGAAGGAUGCCUCUCUUUAGGUGUAGAUAUCUAGGCUGAAACCAUUUUCUUUCAGCAGUUUGGUAACAUUCCAUUGGCUUUCGACUUCCAUAGUCUUACUGUGGUGAUAACUGUCAGCUGUGAGGGAAUGCGCUGUCUCUCCUCUUCUGCUUGGUUGUGGGAUUUACAGCUUGAUAGGUGUUGAGUUUCCUGGAAUAAGUGGAAAGCUCUACUUUGAUUCAGCGGUUGUUGCUGAUAGGGUUGUACCUAUGUUAUCUCUACUCCAUCAAGGGUCAGAUCAUAUGUGUUCGUGUAUAUCUUAUGCAUGUGUCUGGAAGUUUGUUCAUGUGUGACAUGACCUGUGCUCAAGAACUAAAAAUUCUCCCAUGCAGUCCUUACCUGUGGGUUGGCAGUUAUAUAAUGUACAUGCAACACUUUCCUUGGGUGGAAUAACUGUGUCCUAGACAUUGUUCUAACCUCCAUAGUUUAAUUCCAUGUGGUCAGCUACUUUCCUAGAAUCCCCUUCUCUGCACCAUCUCCUUAUAUUCCUUUCAAGAAUAAACCACUUGUGUUCAAACUCACAUCCUAGAAUUUUGGAUUACUUCCUACCCAAAAGACCAAAUGUGUUUCUUUUUUAGAAUAGAAAAAAAAUGGAUGUCAGAUCACCAACUGAGUCCUAUACCAGCUAUCUCUGGGGAACCCAAUGGUCUUCCUCCAUCACCCCGAGAUAUCUUCUGGUACUCUGUUAUGUAGGAAAGAUAUACAUGCAUCAUUGGCAGACAGCUUACAUUUGUUAUCUGCCUUGUGAAGAGGAUGUGGAAGUCCGUAAUUUCCCCCUUUGGUCAAGAAACACCAAAAAUUCGCUAUUAUGGUUUGAAGGUGCUUAUCUCACACAUUUAAAGCACUUAUUCCAAAGCUGGUGGUGCUGUUUGAAAGGUUGCCGAAGUUUUAGACGGUGGGACCUUGAAGGAGAAAGUGGGUCACUGGGGGUGAGCCUGAAUGUUUUAUAGCCCAGUCCCAGUUUCUGUGUGCCCUCUGCUACCCGAGUAGGGCUGCAUCGUGGUCAGUUAGCCUCCUGCUUUAGCUGCUGUGCUUUCCCCUCCUGCUGCCAGGUCUUCACCGUGGCGGACUGUAUCCCUUUAGACUGUAAGCCGAAGCUAAACCCUUCCUCCCUUAAGUUGCUUCCCGUCAGGGAUUGUAUCACAUCCCUGAGAAAAGAAGCUAAUGAAGUAGUGAUGAUGUACCCGAGGGAAACGGCAAGUUUACUGCCACCCCAUGGACUUAGAGAAGGAAGAUUUGGUAGCCCCUGUCAUGUCUCUAGUCAACUCAGUAGUCUUGACUCUGAAAAUAGCAGAUAAAACAUAGAAGACUGAAAGGUACCAACAAAGCAAUGUCACCAAUCACCACUGUGCCCGGGAUCCAUGUAAUUGUCAACAGUGAUGGAGGCAAAUAACUUAUUAUUAUUAUCAUCAUCAUCAUUAUGGCCAUAACGACACUCUCACAGACAUCCUGAAAGUGUCAUCAUGGUACCCCCCUACAGUUUAGGACCAAGAGCGGGAGGGUGAAUGGCUUUAUUCACUGAUAUCUCCAAUGACCCACUUGAGAAAUCUGUGCUUCGUCUCCCAGUGGAGAGAGGCUUCUAACAGGCCACACAGCAAGCUCAAAUUACAGCACUCCAUUGUCAUUCCGGACUCUCAGCAGGAGUACAGAUGCAUUUUUUUUUGAAGUUACAUCCUGUUGGUGGAAAAUGGUCAUUAUUAACAUGAGGGUAAGGAGUCUGCUUCCUAAUGAAGGCAGGGAGAUUUCACCGCGUGUCCAUGCCUGGCGAUUAAGCCAAAAUGAAUAGAAAAUGCGUGCCCUGACAGAGUGUGGUAAGCAGGGAACCAUAGCCCCGAAGGAAGAGGAUCUGGUUUAUGCCAGAUCGUUAGAAAGGCUGUCCAAUUACUAGGAGCGUCUGUCUACAUGACGAAGGAGACAAAGAGAGCAAUAUAUCAAUAGUCGUUUUCAGGUAAAGCAGCAGUACAAGGGCUUCCGACCCCAGCCCCAGUUUGGUGUUUUGAGGCAGGGCUUCUUAUAGCUCAGACCAACCUCGAACCUCUUUGUAACUGAUGCCGGGUCCUUCUUGUCUCCUCCAUGCUGAGAUUAAAGUCAUGUUACACCUUCACCAUGCUUGGCAAGACGUGAUUUGUACGACACGAAAUCAUCAUUGCAUAUGUCGAUUUUUUUAAAAUAAUUUGCCUUUAGUGAAGUACGGACUGGACAAAACACACUAACUUUGGGGUGUGUGUCAUUCUGAGCAUUUCCAAGGGGUGGCUAUGACAGGUGCAGCCAGUUGUCACUAAUAGCCUGAAGUGUUUACCACGUUGGCGUGUUUCGGACUGUUGGCAAUCACCAGCAUCCGCAGUUUCAUGCCUGAAAGGUUAUUCUAGAAGGCUCCUCAGUUUCUAUCCUUAGAGAGCUCUCUGUGCUGUGGAAUUAAUGGACACCAUAAGGGACAUUUUCCACCCAGUGCUUAAUAAGAAAGGGUGCAUAAAUACCCAGCAUCCUUUAGGUGGCGCAUAUCCAAAGUUAGGACCCUGUUCCUUUUCCCAGUGACUCCAAGGUUAAGCCACAACAUUCCUCUGCAUCUUGAUGAAUAAAAGGGACCCCAUGAUGGGCUGCCUGCUUUCCGUCUGCUCCCACUUUCCCAUAAUGCUCCUACAUAUCUCCAGCGGACUACUUAUAAUCUUCUCACAACCUCCUCAGGGAGCUCCAACCAGGAUAGAUGGGCAGCCACUCCUCCCUUUGUGAGGUGAUGAUGCCCAACCCAGUGGGUGCUGCUUGGGAGUGAGAAAAAUGCCUUCAGGGCAAAAGCACUCCUAAAUACUCUCCGCUCCUCUCCCCGGGUUCUUGAUUCUCUGAAUCCUUACUGAUUUGAUAGCUCUCUGAUUCCUUCAAACAGACUUUUAAAAAUGUAUCCUGCUACAGCAGUAGUUCUCAGUGGGAGUGUUGGUCCAAUGUAACUGAGAGCCGAAAUCAAUUUCUUUCGCAAAUCCAUAUGCGAAUUAAGGAAACUUUAAUGAGAACCCAAAGCAGUCACCACCUUCUUCCCUGGUAUUUCGCAAACCCCCAAAUCAUUUAAAAUGGAAUGUUCUAUUUUAUAGUAGCAGGGGGGUUGAAAUCUCAGUCCAAGCUAAAGGCUUCUUAAUGCUGUAACUCUAUGAAUUGCCUGAUUUUUUUUUUUUUUUUUGUCUUCAGAUAUUUCAGGGUGGGGAGAGGUGAAGUGAUUUGUUGCAAACUCGAGAUGGAUUUCAUUAAGCAUGCAGAACUGCUGUUAACAUCACUAGAGAUCUGCAAAAUAGAAGCUCGACAUGCCCAGAGCAGGUUUGACACAUGGAGCCGAGAUGUGAAAUUUGCCAGAAAUUAAGAGCUGUGCUGACAAGCUUUCUAACAUGAUCUCAUCAUCAAAUCCUGGAAGGUAAUGGAUUUAUCAUUUAGCGAGUUAAUGCGGUAGAAAGUGCUUUGUAGACUGGAAAGUUUGAAGUAAACAUUAGUUGUAAUCAUAAUCCACGUGGCGUUUGGCUUAUAGAUUUUUUUUUAUUUUAGACUUUAUAUUUUAGAAUAUUUUUGGAUUUAUAGAAAAUUGUGAAAGCGAGCAGAGUUUGCAUAUAACCCACAUCUAGUGUCUGCUACUGAUAGCUGUCAUGGAGAUGUUCAAUUAUUAUAAAUAACAGACAAUAUUAAUAUAUUAUUUAAAGUUCAUAUUUUAUUCAGAUUCCCCUCAUCUGUAUCUGACAUCUAUUUUUUUUUUUUCUGUUCUGGGAGACCACCAGUUUACCUAUUAUGGCUUCAUAGGGUCCUCUUGAGCUGACAGAUUCUCAGACUUAUUUCUAGUGAUCCUGCAGGUCAGGGGACACAGGUGAGGCAGUUGCUAGGCAGCCCUCUUUAGGGGAUUAGUCUGGUUUUUCUCUCCAGUUGGUUGAGGUCGUGAUGUCUUGGCAUGCAGCUCUCCUGCCCAGCCUCUGAAAGGUCCCACUGUUGCUUUGUCAGAGAGCUCUCCUUUGGUAGCUUCUCCCUUGAUCAGAAAUCACUGUGCAGACACCCACAAUGAAGAAGUGUGUGUGUGUGUGUGUGUGUGUGUGUGUGUGUGUGUGUGUGUGUGUGUGGUGUCUGUGUGCGCACAUGCAUGGAUCUACAAUUUUUCCCCUUGAAUAAGGGACAAACACAUAAACCAUUUGGAAUUCUGUUCAGGUAAAUCUUCUAAUACCACUUACUUAUCAAUCGUGUAUUUAUAUGUCCACUUGGAUUCAUAUUUUUGUUUGUUUUUAGUUUGUAAAGACCUCUUUUUAAUUUUUAACUGUGUGAAUGUGUAUGAAUGC